rnacentral:snRNA from 1 species
UUUUUCUCUUAAAGUUAAAAGAUUCCUCUAAAGAGAUAAGUGUUAAGAGGAGAUUAGCACGGCCCCUGCGCAAGGAUGACAUGCACAAAUCGAGAAAUGGUCCAAAAAGAG